GCACUUCUUUGUACUUCGAUAUGUAAAAAAAAAAAAUAUUUUCAUAGAAUUUCUUAAAAAUAUAAAAUAAUGUUUUAAGAUAAAGACGUUUUUUGAGAGUAACUUUGCUUAUUGUAAACAAAAACGCAUGAUUUGAUCACUUUCCAGCAAUUCACCUUCGAAAAUUUAAAAACGGUUAUCUUUGCUUUCUGAAUUGAAUUAGUUAUGUUCUAAACCUUGAUUCUCAGCGCAGAUUAUCCUGCAAAAGUAUCUUACACAAGAAUAAUAUCUAUAUAGAAAUGGUAACCGCUAACAAUUAGUUGCCGUUAAACUAUUUGAAAUUUUCUAAGAUAAAUUAAAAUAUACACGCUUUAUGGAUCCUUAGAAAAAAUGAGGAAGAAACAUUAAUAAUCUCUGGAUAUUCAAUACACGUGGCUUCUAAACGAUGCGAGUGCCACAAUUAUUUGGAUUUUACAUGGUACAGGUUAAUAUGACAGAGUAAAGAACCGUGAUGAUUGUUUUCUUGUGCCUUUUUCUACAGAUGUGCCGAGUGAAGUAAUGUUAAGUUGGUAGGCUCAAUGUGUAAAAAUGAUUCGAACAUUAGAUCUUGUAUUUAAACUGUUUCACUAAAACCACAUAGUUUCUGUUGGAUUCAUUACAUUUUUUUAAUCAUUUGAGUGAAAUGGAAAGUCACAGACAUCAUUAAAGAAGCAGAUUAUCCUGAGCAGACAUCUGCGUUUAAUGGGAACAAUUGCGCAACGUCAUUCCCCAUAAGAAGAUUGACUGCAUUUACAGCUAUUGGCAAAUAGUACGGAGAGCAGCUGUCCAGACGGCCAGAAAACAUUUUAUUGUUUGACACAGAAGUAAUAUCGGCUGGAUAACUUUUGACACUUAAUAGAUACCAGCUUGCGUGAUAAAGGUAUGCCACCAACCACAGUAUUUUCUCAGUUUCGUACACAUGCCAUCCAUCUAUAUCACUCUUCCUGGAUGCGAGGAAGUAUUCGCUUAAGAUACGUCUAUGUAUCCAAAGGCACAAUAGACAUGUUUUGCCCGAAAUGACCAUGGCCCAACAGGAAAUACCUGGAAUCUUCAAGAGGAUUUUGGAAUUUGAGCCGUUUUUAAAAUAUAUUCGUGGUCCAACAGAUUUAAUUGAUAGUUUUAAGAGCUAGAAAUCUUGAACCAAGUUCAAAAUGCAUCGUCUUUGGUACUCGCAAAUUACGGAAACUUACAUUCAAUAUGCACAGUGGAUUGAAAGUGAAAGGUUUAUAAUCUCUCCAUAUGCCAGACGAGUGGUUUCAAAGAAACGAGAUCAGAAUCAUGUGGAUUUAACAUGCUUAACUUGUGAUAGGAGAAAAUAACCAUGAAGAUUUCUUCUUAUACUGUUUUCAACUAUGGAACCAAUGUUAAUUUGGACGAUUUUUUUGUGUAAUGCCAGCAAGAAUUUGUGAGAUAACAUCCGUUUGAACCACUUUACUUAACCUUCCUAAUACCUAAAUACUACUUGGUUCUACAGCAGCGCAUUGUGCAAAGAAUACAACUCAUGUCAUUUAUUUGAACAAUGGCACUCUCCAUCUAUAGAAUGAAUGUCCUUUUCAGUUCCAGCUACAAAUUCUAUAUACAGAGGAUGUCUGGAUGCCCAGGAAAGAGCAGUACUGAAGUGGUUUCGAUAUUGACAUGAGUUGGCCGAAAUGAUCGCGGUACAACGGAUGCCAUCCGGAAUGUUCAAGCGCAUAUCGGAACUCGGAGCCUUAGUAAUGAAAUAUUGCAUGAAGAUCCAACAUAUGCAGUUUGUAAAAUUGUAAAUAUUAGACCAAACCCAAAAUGCAUAUUUGGUACCAAAAUAUUGUCAAUGAUCUGCAUAGUGGAAAUGUAAAUGUAUAUGGAGUUAACAUUACUUGAGGACAUCAAUACAUCUCUAAAAUGUUUUAUUCUUCCAUUUUUAAGGUUUUGAAUAUUUAUAUAUUUUUGGAGAAUUCUUUCAACCAAUGCAGUAAUUCAUUUCGAACUUGGAAAAGGUUGAAGUGCAUGAAAUGUACAUCAUUCAAAGCCUGUUUGGCAUAUGAAUCAAUAUUUCUUAAGUUUUGGAAAUUGUUAAGCUUUUGGUUCAUUAUAUUUCCUUCAAAGUUGAUGUUUAUAUUCUACUCUUUUAGAAACAAGUAUUUUUUUUAAUAUUCUAGACAUAUGAAACAUUUUUAUGGAUAAAUUAAAAUUUGUAAGUAUUUGAUUUUUCUAAGUUAUCUAAAACCAAUUUUCAACAAGACCUAAAGAAGAAUUUUUCUCUCAGGAUGUCUAAAAUUGACUUUAAAAUUUCAUUUGUAACCAUACUCUUAUUAAAAGUUAGUAAGUUAGACUUUUUUUUACUGACCCAGCGAUAUAGCCAGGGAUCGCAGCAACUGUCCCAGAAUUGCAAUUACUUGAAAAAAAAAAGUAUAAAACGACUUAAUUUGCAUUUGACAUUUCUCCGUCAUUGUAAACAGAGAAGGCAUCUUCAUGAUAUUAGAUGAUUUGUUAAGAUUAUUUUUCAUCAUCGAUUGCCUUAUUAAAAUUCUAAAAAUUUAAUUUUUUGUUAUUGAUAACCGAUUAGCUAUUAUUCCUUUUCAUCAGCAUAAUUGUUUGUAGACAGUUUUCAAUUUAUUGAUAGAUUUUACAAAAUAGUCUUCCAUUGUUUUCAUUUAUUACUGAAUGUCAAAGAUCGCGAAAGCAAUUUGAUUCAUUUUUUCCUGAAUAGAAAUUUAAAA